rnacentral:tRNA from 1 species
GCUAUUUUAGCAUAAUAAGUGCAUUAAAUUUAGAAUUUAAUUAUGUAAUUAAUAUUAUAAAUAGUA